CGCCUUGCCAGCCCGCUCAGAAACUUAAAGGAAUUGACGGGGGCCCGCACAAGCGGAGGAGCAUGUGGUUUAAUUCGAUGAUACGCGAGGAACCUUACCUUGGCUCGAACGUAAGAUGACUGUAGGUGAAAGCUUACAUCUCUUCGGAGCAUUUUACGAGGUGCUGCAUGGUUGUCGUCAGCUCGUGCCGUGAGGUGUCGGGUUAAGUCCCAUAACGAGCGCAACCCCUACCUUUAGUUGCCAUCAGGUUAAGCUGGGGACUCUAAAGGAACUGCCUACGCAAGUAGUGAGGAAGGCGGGGAUGACGUCAAAUCAGCACGGCCCUUACGUCCAGGGCUACACACGUGCUACAAUGGCCGAUACAGAGGGCAGCUACCUGGUGACAGGAUGCAAAUCUCCAAAGUCGGUCUCAGUUCGGAUCGGAGUCUGCAACCCGACUCCGUGAAGUUGGAUUCGCUAGUAAUCGCGCAUCAGCCAUGGCGCGGUGAAUACGUUCCCGGGCCUU
rnacentral:rRNA from 1 species